GAUGUAUUGAAGGAGGUUGUUCAAUCAAAGAAGUGACAGUUGCAAUUGGCAUUUGAGUUAGAGAAGAAGUUGCUCUCGAGGUUGGUGAUAUGGAUUAGGUCGAGGAAGGGGCAACAACAGUGAGGGAAGGAUAAAAAGAGAUUUAGUCGAGAAAAAGGUGGGAGAGGAGGGAGUGAAUGCUAAUAUUGUGGUCAGUGAUGGCAACG
rnacentral:lncRNA from 1 species